rnacentral:rRNA from 1 species
CCUGAGAGUAAGAUCCUGGCUCAGAACGAACGCUGGCGGCAUGCCUAACACAUGCAAGUCGAACGAAGGCUUCGGCCUUAGUGGCGCACGGGUGCGUAACGCGUGGGAAUCUGCCCUUAGGUUCGGAAUAACAGCUGGAAACGGCUGCUAAUACCGGAUGAUAUCGCGAGAUCAAAGAUUUAUCGCCUGAGGAUGAGCAUCGCGUUGGAUGGGUAGUUGGUGGGGUAAAGGCCGCCCAAGCCGACGAUCCAUAGCUGGUCUGAGAGGAUGAUCAGCCACACUGGGACUGAGACACGGCCCAGACUCCUACGGGAGGCAGCAGUGGGGAAUAUUGGACAAUGGGCGAAAGCUUGAUCCAGCAAUGCCGCGUGAGUGAUGAAGGCCCUAGGGUUGUAAAGCUCUAAUACCGAUGAAGAUAAUGACUGUACCGGGAGAAUAAGCCCCGGCUAACUCCGUGCCAGCAGCCGCGGUAAUACGGAGGGGGCUAGCGAUGUUAAGGAUUACUGGGCGUAAAGCGCACGUAGGCGGCUUUGUAAGUCAGAGGUGAAAGCCUGGAGCUCGACUCCAGAACUGCCAAUGAGACUGCAUCGCUUGAAUCCAGGAGAGGUCAGUGGAAUUCCGAGUGUAGAGAUGAAAUUCGUAGAUAUUCGGAAGAACACCAGUGGCGAAGGCGGCUGACUGGACUGGUAUUGACGCUGAGGUGCGAUUGCGUGGAAAGCAAACAGGAUUAGAUACCCUGGUAGUCCACGCCGUAAACGAUGAUAACUAGCUGUCCGGGCACUUGGUGCUUGGGUGGCGCAGCUAACGCAUUAAGUUAUCCGCCUGGGGAGUACGGCCGCACGGUUAAGGCUCAAAGGAAUUGACGGAAGCCUGCACAAGCGGUGGAGCAUGUGGUCCAAUUCGAAGCAACGCGCAGAACCUUACCAGCGUUUGACAUGGUAGGACGACUUCCAGAGAUGGAUGGCUUCCAAUCGGGGACCAACACACAGGUGCUGCAUGGCUGUCGUCAGCUCGUGUCGUGAGAUGUUGGGUUAAGUCCCGCAACGAGCG